rnacentral:rRNA from 1 species
UAUCUUCUAGAGCUAAUACAUGCAGGUUAGCCCGACUUCUCGGAAGGGCUGUAUUUAUUAGAUAACAGACCAAUAUUCCUCGUGUCUAUUGUGGUGACUCAUAGUAACUGAUCGGAUCGCAUGGCCUUGUGCCGCGAUAAACCAUUCAAGUUUCUGACCCAUCAGCUUUCGAUGGUAGUGUAUUGGACUACCAUGGCUUUCACGGGUAACGGAGGAUUAGGGUUCGAUUCCGGAGAGGGAGCCUGAGAAACGGCUACCACAUCUAAGGAAGGCAGCAGGCGCGUAAAUUACCCAAUCCUGAUUCAGGGAGGUAGUGACAAGAAAUAACGGGUCGGGGCAUCUGCCUCGGGAUU